UACGUAGGUGGCGAGCGUUGUCCGGAUUUAUUGGGCGUAAAGCGCGCGCAGGUGGUGCGGUAAGUCUGCCGUGAAAUCUCCCGGCUCAACUGGGAGGGGGCGGUGGAGACUGCCGGACUAGAGGGACUCAGAGGCCGGUGGAAUUCCCGGUGUAGUGGUGAAAUGCGUAGAGAUCGGGAGGAACACCAGUGGCGAAGGCGGCCGGCUGGGGGUGCCCUGACGCUGAGGCGCGAAAGCGUGGGGAGCGAACAGG
rnacentral:rRNA from 1 species